UACGUAGGGUGCGAGCGUUAAUCGGAAUUACUGGGCGUAAAGUGUGCGCAGGCGGCUGAGCAAGUCGAGUGUGAAAGCCCCGAGCUUAACUUGGGAAUUGCGCUCGAAACUACUUGGCUCGAGUGUGGCAGAGGAAGGUGGAAUUCCACGUGUAGCGGUGAAAUGCGUAGAGAUGUGGAGGAAUACCGAUGGCGAAGGCAGCCUCCUGGGCCAACACUGACGCUCAUGCACGAAAGCGUGGGGAGCAAACAGG
rnacentral:rRNA from 1 species